AACGAACGCUGGCGGCGUGCCUAACACAUGCAAGUCGAACGAGAAAGGGGCUUCGGCUCCGCGUAAAGUUGCGCACGGGUUAGUAACACGUGGGUAACCUGCCUCUAAUAUUGGGAUAACUCGUCUAAAGAUGAGCUAAUACCGAAUAAGACCACAGUUCCCGCGGGAACAGGGGUCAAAGUUAGCCUCUGCUUGCAAGCUAUCACUUAGAGUUCGGCCUGCGCACCAUUAGCUAGUUGGUAGGGUAACGGCCUACCAAGGCAAAGGUGGUUAGCUGGUCUGAGAGGAGGGUCAGCCAAACUGGGAAUGGGACAAGGUCCAGACUCCUACGGGGGGCAGCAGUGGGGAAUAUUGCGCAAUGGGGGGAAGCUUGACGCAGGAAAGCCGAGGGAGUGAUGAAGGGCUUCGGGUCGUAAAGCUCUGUCGGGAGGAACGAAUGAUACUGAGGUUAACAGCCUCGGGAGGUGACGGUACCUACAAAGGAAGCACCGGCUAACUCUGUG
rnacentral:rRNA from 1 species